rnacentral:rRNA from 1 species
UACAGGGGGUGCAAACGUUGCUCGGAGUUAUUGGGCGUAAAGCGCACGUAGGCGGUUCGUUAUGUCGGAUGUGAAAGCCCUUGGCUCAACUGAGGAAGUGCAUCCGAAACUGGCGAGCUAGAGUAUGUAAGAGGGUCGCGGAAUUCCCGGUGUAGAGGUGAAAUUCGUAGAUAUCGGGAGGAACACCGGUGGCGAAGGCGGCGACCUGGGACAAUACUGACGCUGAGGUGCGAAAGCGUGGGGAGCAAACAGG